rnacentral:rRNA from 1 species
UACAGAGGUCCCAAGCGUUGUUCGGAUUCACUGGGCGUAAAGGGUGCGUAGGUGGUGAGGUAAGUCGGAUGUGAAAGCUCGGAGCUCAACUCCGAAAAUGGCAUUGGAAACUACCUUGCUCGAGGGUUGGAGGGGGGGACUGGAAUGCUUGGUGUAGCAGUGAAAUGCGUAGAUAUCAAGCGGAACACCAGUGGCGAAGGCGAGUCCCUGGACCGGUACUGACGCUGAUGCGCGAAAGCGUGGGUAGCAAACGGG